GGGGAGGUCUGCCAGUUUUGAGCCAGCACGUUAAGAGCUGGAAAGUUGUACACAGGCCAAGCACCGGAGUAGCAUGGGGGCUGUAGAUCAGGUGCGAGGUGCAUUGCCAGAGCUGUGCUGAGAGCACCGAAAUGAAACAGCAGAGCAAGCUGCUAGUCAGGAUUGAGGGGCAUGUGCCUGGAGGGAGUUCAACCACUGGCUUGUCAUUGUAUUCCCAGGUGUGACCAGGUGAUCUUUAGCACCAGAUUAGUCCCAAACUAAGCAACUGGGAUAAGCCAAACCUGCCCUUUCCCCAGCUACCACCAGCGCAGUAACUUCUUACAGCAAAGACAGUAACUGGUCUUCCUGCUGCACGUGAGUUAAACUCAUUCAUGCAUCCAGAUGCUUCAUCUGUCUCUCCCCUUGUCCCUCAUCAGCAGCUGCAAGGAUUCAUGGUGUCUCAGCAAUGUAUCCAUUAGGAUGGUGCAGUUCUCUUGCUUUCCUUCUCCCUCUCUUCCUCUGGGUGUGUUCUGGCCUUUAAGUAAGAGGACCUGGCUGCCUGCCAGACAGCCAUUUCCUGGUAAUCUAAUAGCUGCAGCAGAUGAACUGAAAAUGCAUUUCCUGCCACCAUGCUGUAAAAUUUUUAUUAAUGUAACGGGAGAAUGCAUUGCUGGCUGGAACUGCAAUGAUGUUUGUGGUGCUGUGGAUGGCUGGGAGGCAGAGGGGUGGAAAGUACCGUAGGAUGCAUAUCAAGGAAGGUGAAAUAGGAAUGGGGCUCAGGACUGGAGAGGUUCUAGGUAACACAGAGGAGAGGGGAUGCGCUGAUGGGCCUGGAGAUUCCCCCUGCAGAGCUGUGCUACAAAAAUAGAUGAUGCAGUUGUAUCUCAGUACUAGAGGUUGCCACUGUGUGACAUGAUACAGAGGAGAUAAUGCAGUCAUGGCUCAAUGUUGAAGCCUGCAGUGCUGCAAUAUGGCAGAGGGGAUGCAGGGUUUCAGGACUUGGUGGUGGGAAGUGGGGUGGUCUCUGGAUAUUAUGUUGAGAUGUAGCAGGGAGUAUGCAGUGGUAUCUUGGUGCCAAGAGUUUAUGAAUGCUGUGCUGUGAGAUAGCAGGGGAAACUAUGAUUCUCACUGCUGGAGAUGUCUGGGACCAAUGCUGUGAUACAGCAGAGGGGAUGCAGUAACAUCUCAGUGCUGGUUGCAGUGUCAAGAUACUGACAUCUUGGUGCUGAGGGUUCCUGGGUGCAGUGCUAUAAUAGAACUGAGGGGGAUGUCCUCCUGUGAGGUUCCCAGGUAUCGUGACGUCUUAUAGGAAAAGGCUGAGCUAGAACAAGGGACUAGAAUCCUUAUGGGAGUGGUACAGAGGGAAAUUAUUCUCCCUAGAGUAGGGGGUUCAUUUACAUUUGUAGAAUAAUUAAAACAAGGGGUGGCCUGAAGCUGUGGAACUCAAGUGUAGAUCUGGGGCCUGGCACUGAGAUGGCAUAAUGACGGCUGCACUGAAAUAGCCAGAACUGAGCAGAAGAAAUUAUGGGCAUUCUGCUUUCUUCUAAAAAUUCAGCCUUUUCUUGGUGCCACACAGGGUAAAAGCACUGUGGAGACAUUACACAGCCUCUCUCAGAUACCAUCAUUGGGCAGCCUACAUACAGGGCAGUGAUGGCAGGACUCACUCAUGAAAGCAAAAGCAGCAAGGUCCUUUGGGAGGGUGGCAUGGAGAAGGCAAGGUGCGGGGGACAGCAAGGACAUGAUGGGACAAUGAAGAAGUGGUUCAAAUACUUGCAUCACAGUGGAUGCAUCUACAAGAGACACUGACUGCACAGUAGAUUGUUACUACUGCGCAGUAAUGUAGCAUGGCAGGAAGCAUGAUAUGAUGCUACUGAGCAGUAGUAAUGAGCUACUGCGCAGUCGGCAUCACCUAAAAACCAUUCAGCAACGUUACUACGCAGUAACUCCAGUUACUGCACAGUAACAACUGCAGUAACAACUGCACAGUCAGCAUCUCAUGUAGAUGCAGCCAGUGUCCUGUAUUUAUCUACAACCCUUUCCUUCCCUGAGAGAGGAUUCUUUAGGCUGACCUGCCUAAAAUGGAGCUACGAAAAUGCAGCCACCUCUAGGUAGUUUGAGGAAGCUGAGUUAGAACACAAAGCCUUGUGUUCCGUCCCUCUGUCUCUCACUUACUGCCUUCCUCCCUCCUUUAGCCUGACUUUAACACAGGUUUACUGUGUUAACAAAUUGGGCAGUAGCCCUUGCCAGGCAGAAAGAGGUGAGUCUCCUGUGGCCGUCUCAGUUACACCAUGGCAAGGGGGUAGGGGGAGCAAUUUUCUUUAUUUAAAUGUUAUUAGUCUGGUUGUUCUGUGAGCCAUUCUGCUGGGGGAAGAUAGAUGGGACUGAAUCUCCUCACUAUCAGCCAUGAAUAAUUUAGUACCGGCUGCUAACAGAGCAGCCACACUUCCCUUGCCUCUCCAUCCAAGGAAAGCUUUCCAGUCUGUGGCAUGCAAAAGCUGAUUCAAAGGUUCCAGUUUAAGCAAGAGACAGAAAGGGAGAAAUCAUGUUACUUAUGACUUUGCAUCUCCAUGCUUUGCAAAGCAAGGUCAGUAUCAAUGUCCCUAAUGACGGGGGAUACUGAGGCAUAGAGAAAGGAAGUGGCUUAAGCCAGAGGAAGAGAAUGCAGGCUCUUGUAGGAUGCAAGUGAUUCCAGUCAAUGUGUCCUGCAAGGCAAGAAUCAGACCCAAGUCUCCAGAUUCCUGGCCCAGUUGCAUGCUCAUCCACUGGACAAUGCCACUUCUGAAAGACAUUGCGGGUGAGAGAGGAGUUGAGUGACCUGGUUGUAUUGUUAGAGUUGUGCGGGAGGCACAGACAGGCAGGCAGAUGGAUGGAUGGACACACAAGGACAGAAAGAGAUAUCCACAGUUCAUUGAGUCAUGGGAAUGCCACCCAUUGGUCUAGGAAGCUUUGGAUCAGCUCCUAGGAGGGUGAAGAUGGAAGAGGAGCUUAGCGAUGGAAACAGCAUUUACCUGAACCUGAAAGAGGUCAAUAAAGAGUAUAGGGAAAUGUUGAUCGACAUGAGCAAGCCUGGAGGUGACAUUACCCCUCAAUCAGACAAAUGGGUGGGGUAGUAGAAAGGAGUUAAGCUAAUUUAUUUGCCCUUGUGGCAGCACAGUGCAGCCUUGCGUGAACACCACCUUCAUGUCCUGAGCCUGCCAAGAGAUCAGAGCAGUCUGGCGGUGACUCACUUAAUUUUUGGCUGAUGGUUCUCAGCAGCUCCAAUGCUGGGACUAUGACAGGAUGGGAUGGAUGCAACUCAAAUACAGGCUAUGCCACUCAGAAUCUAGGAGCCUUCCCCCUACAGAGCUCGUUGUCCUUGCCAACUACCCUUAUCGACUACAUGCAACAGGGAUCCAGAGAGUCCCCAUCUGAGGGGGCCCCUUUGGAGUGGGAUCAGUGAAACAGAUGGUGUUGCAUACUGCCCUGUACACAGAUGCCAAGUCUCCCUGCAAUAAUGGAGCUGUAGGUCUUGCUGCAGGAUGGAUCGGGCCCUGACUUGAGUUCAGUUCUUGGCUCAGAUAUAGACUCCUUGUGCGUCCUUGGAUGGAUCACAAACCAUCCUGUGUCUCAGUUCCAUGCCACUAAAAUACUCCCUUCCUUCAGAGAGACAUGUGUUAAUAAUCCAUUGGUGAAUACAAAGUGCAGAGGAACCAUGGUAACAAGGAACACAAAUGUCCCUGCCUGGGCACUUCGAAGAUGGCCUCACCUAGACUUGCAAGCAAGCCUCCAAUAUAACAGUGCCUAUGAGAACCAUGUAGCACUUUCCAUCUCUAAAGAGCUUCACCACUCUUUAAGCCAUUCAACUGAUUUGCAAGCUUGACCAAUAUAUUGCUACCCCUGUUUCACAGACAGGGAAGCUGGGGCACAAAACCAGAGAAGUGACCUAUCCCUCAUCAUACAAGGAGUUAGAAUUGGGACCCCCAGAAUUCUUGACACCUGUAUCUGUGCCCAGGCCUCAAGACCACCCCUCCCUCAUCACUUUCCUCCAAACUCCUGCAGGUAGAGGCCUCCACAUAGGAGAACCUAAGAAAACAGCUGUAUUUUUUAGCUGUCCAGAAUGUAACUGAUUGAUUGGGAGAAACCCAGUUUGUAGAACUCAUGAAUAAAAUCUUAACUGGAUUACACUGAAGAUCCUUUCUCUUCCAGAGACGACCUCUUCCAAGAAAUGAUAGACAGCUGCCGAGGAGUAGCAGACUCUGUAUGCAGUGAGAUCAAGAGAAAAGGGGGCAGAUUCUUGGCUACUGCAAAUCCCUGCAGCUGCUUCAUUGUGCCUUAGCAAAGUCUGGCCCAGGAAGGUGAAUGUCCUGGAAUGUAAUGGCAAAUCUGUGAUGCUGAAGUACAGCUCCUGAUCUUGGAUUUCCUGGUUUAUAUAAGUGUAACCACAACAAAGCCAGUAGGUGAAACUUCUCCAUCACCACUCUCUGUGGGCCUCCCAGUAGCAUAAGGCAUGUGGCAGUCUUGAGAAAAUUCAUGCUCUCAUGGGUCUGAACUACAGCCCUGGACCUAAACCCACCUUCUGAUCUCAAUCCCUGAUCCAACCAUGACUGACCUCCAUUCAGAGCUACUACUACCUUAAAGUAAGUGAUGCUGCCUUCUAGUGCCCAGACCCACAGGGAGGCUACAGGAUCUGUCAAUGCUAUUAGAGGAGCUCUACUUUAAUUUCAGCAGCCCCAGUUUGUGUACCUGGCCCUGAAGGACAAGACAUCUAGUCCCAUGCCCCAGCUGCAAGAGUGUGCACAGUUGCAUCUAUCAUGUGGAAUGCAGUCUUCCUAGAAUGGCCAGAUCUGAACGUGCCUAAAGUGUAGAACUGGUUCUGGAUCUAAAUGCUGUGGCUUGGAUCUUCCUGCAGCCAUCAACAGGGUUGACAUGCAGCAAUGCUGGGUGACUUAAUGGUGGUUUUUGGUUCUAUUUUGGUUCUGCCUCCCAGAUCCUCCUGCCUGCACAGACGCCCAUGCCCCAUUGCCUGAGGUUAGAGCUUCCCACGCUUCCUGCCGUCUGGAGACACUGGUCCAGGGAGCUGAAGAUGUUGCGUUGCCUUUUACCACUCAGAGUCUGCCUCCACUGCCAAGGCAGAGCUAAAUUGGAAAAACACACACAAUGACCUCUUGUGGAAUGUAGUAUUAAUAUUUGAUAGGCCUAAUGUAAUCAUAUACAAUCAAUAAAGGCAGGAAUAUCUCUCCCCCUUUGUGCUCUCUUUCUCUGCCUUGUCCCUUCCUUUCUUUUCCUCUCCCUCACUCUCUCUUUCAUUAAUGCAUUCUCCAUUUUACAUUAUUUAUUAACUUCCUUCCUUUUUUAUUUUGAAAAAAAAAAUUAAAUAACGGUGGUUAUCUGUAGUCUCGGACCUUCUGUCUUAGCAAUUUUGUGCCAGGCAGGAACUUUGCUAACCUUCCUCUCCCUGCUUUCCUUGUAUUCAAGCAGAGCCUGUACAAAGUAUCCAUCUUCCCUUUCCCACUAAGGCUUUUUAAAGGAAUUUCUUGCUCUCAAGUUUCUCUGCAUUAGAGAAUUGAUCUGCUGUUAACUAAACUGGGGGAGCUAGUACCAAUACUAAUACCAGAAGUGCACUGAGUCCACCCCAGCCAUACUGUUUUGGAGGCAGAUAGUACCUUUGCUCUGCACUCACACUAGAAGUACUUUGUUUCUCUCCAAAGGACCCCAAGCAGCUCUCAGAAGCAGUGCCUUCUGGGAAGUUUUGGAAGUCUUUGGGGAAUUUUGGUAGAAGUGGUCAAAUUCCCAGCAUUCCCCAGGGGAAAUCCCAUACGUCCUCUGGUGCAAUUGCUGUUUCCUAGGCCUGUACUCAAAGUGGAGGCCAGAGGGAAGGUUCAACUCUUGUUUUUUGAUAAACAGGAAACAGGUUUUCCUGCUGAAGCUUUGAGAAUUCAAUUAGGAGGUGUCUGUGAGGCAGCUUCCACGAUGAGGUUGGGGGUGUUCCAGCAGCACCUGCACAGAAUGAGAGACUGAGAGGACCAGGACAUGGCAUUCACCAUGCAUCCCUCAGGCACUAAACAGGUGCCAGCUGCAUUUCCAGAUGACCCUCAGCGGAGGAGGUACCAUCUAGACUGUGAUCUCAGACUGGAUGGGACCAGUUUGUUCUCAAGACCUAGAUGGAUAAAAAGGGGGCUGCAGACUUUGAGAACAAAGAAGGAGCCUUUCCUGGAACUAUGUGCUGGCUAGCACUGGCACUGCAGCAGUAGGCCCUCAGGAUAAGAGCAACCACAGUCUUUUCAGGUCUAGAUAACCUGUUGGAACCCCAGUUGGCCAGGAAGCCCACAGUCACAGCUCUUGAGGGAGUGGUAGACAGGUGUCUACCACCACCAACACAGUGUUGUGAGGGCGUGUGCAGGUGGUCGAUAUACCAGUAAGAAUGGAAGGACUGAAGCUGUCAGGAAGUUUGCAUUACCCAAGAGCUGCUAGGAUGAACUGUGCAAUAUUUGAGUUGCUUCCAAUAAGACUAGGGAUCCACCAAUACAAAGAAUGACCAAUCACUGAUGAAGCAGACGAUGGAGGGUAUCUAGACAUGACAAGAGGGUGGGAAGAUACCAAGUGAGAUGAGAGCUUUCAAAGUCCUGGACAUUCCAUGGGCAAAGAGAAGGGAACUCUAUCCCCAGCAAUACUAAGACUGUCUCUUGUCCCCUCUGGGAUUCAGAAGAUGCUGACCAUCCACUUUUGUUAAGGACAUUUUCUUUUUCUUUAGAACAGGGGUGGGCAAAAUGUGGCCCAGGGGCUGGAUGCAGUCCGCCAGGCUAUGCUAUCUGGCCCACAGAGCCCCUAAAAAAUUUAGAAAAUUAAUAUUUAUCUGCCCCUGGCUGCCUGUCAAGUGGCCCUCGAUGGCUUACCAAAACUCAAUAAGUGGCCCUCCGCCCAAAAUAAUUGCCCGCCCCUGCUUUAGGAGCAUAGGAAACACCAGACUGGGUCAGAGUUGAGAUCUAUCUAGUCCAGUGUCCUGUCUCUGGAAAUGACCAGUAUUAGCUGCUUCAGAGACAGGUGCAAGAAACACCCUCUAACAGGUAGUCAUGGAAUAAUCUGUUCAUUGGAGAAGCUCCUUCCUAAAUUCUGUUUUCUAGUGAUUGGUUUAUGCCCUGAAGUGUAAAGAUGUAUUUCUCUCCUAAUAUUAGUCCUUAUAAAUGUUUAAUCCUACCCAACUUUCCCUGGCUUCACCACUAUCUAGCAUCAGGGAGUUCCAGAAGUUAGGUAACAGACUUAAAGAGUAUCACACAACCCCAGAGCGGUGCAAGGCAUGUCUAUACCGCAACACAGAGAUUUGGCUUACUGCUGAGGCACUGAGUUCCAGGUACCUGUUCACAUCAUGCAUGCAUAAGUUCUGAAACGGAGGUAACAAGGAUGUUGUGAGGCACACAAACCCUCCACUCUUGAGCACAAUGGAAAUUCAGGCCAUGAAUGUGGCUAAGCACAAUCUCUGCAGCCUCCUCACUGCCUCAUUACCAGGAUUGCUGUGUGUGGAGCAGGGGCAGUGGGAGGGCUUAUUACUUGGCUGUUACAGCAUAGGCAUAAGUACAGACUCAGUGAUCUAUAGGCAGCAGGCACUGGGUGGCUGAGCAGUGGGCACUGAGGAAACUGAAAGCAAAAAGGAGCGUUUCUCAUCCCUCAGUAAUAAAUGUAAGCAGCGCAGGUUCUGCUUGCUGUGUUGUGCAAAACUUGUGUAAAAGCAAAGCCAAAAUCUCCAUGGUGAAGGCAUUGCUAAAGUAGCUAGAAUGGCACCAACUAACAGGCAAACAUUUGCAAUGGAUGCUGUCAGCUCAGCCUGCAGCUGGCAGGCUACACAAAGCUGAAAUGCUCUGGACAUAUACUCUUAGGCGGAGAGUAUGGAACUGGGUGCAGAGUUGUUGUGUAGCUCAUUGCAUUACAUGCUGCAGCCUCAUUUGUUCUUGCACAUUAAGAUCCUUCAUUCAUGAUCAGUGCUUGGUCCGAGGCUUGGUUUUGGGUGGUAGGAUGUUGGAUGGUCUGUUGGUGGCAAGACUGUGCAUAACUGGUCACUUAAUUGGAGUUACUCUCCUCAGAGUAUAUAUGAUGCUUUAUUCAUCUGCCAUUGUUAAGCCUUACUGGCACUGGAAGACAGGUGUUUGCUGGCACAAUGCACCUGGUCCAAUUACACAUCUAAGUGGACUUAGGCACCUAACAGUGGUCAUAUUUGACCCUAAUUAAGUGCCUGGAAAUGCAUUAAUGCACCUACUUUUGUAACACAGUGUCAUCGUAGCCUUAAGACUGAAUCACAAAAAGCAGGAGGAGGACUUGCCACCUUUUGCAUUAAGCUGUUUUUCAGGGACUUAAGCAGGAUAGAGUAGUAUCACACUUAGACAUCUCAGUCCAUGUAAGUCACACCUGGAGCUCUCGCUGAAUGAUUUUUACAGCCAUUUCUGUGAAGAUCAUGCAUCUCCCAGAGUUGGACACUAAUGCUGUAGAAUAGAGCAUAAUCUGAUUUUGGUUGGUGGAGUGGUCCAGCAGCCACCUUGUGUACUGAGAGAUAUUACAAUGACUAUCACCUCCAGAAGGCAUUCGAAACAGCAACUGCAUUAUAGUGGAGACCUUUGCUGAGCAGACCAUGCCCAGGUUUGGUCCUUCCCAUAAGCCUUAUUUUUAGCAACAGCCCUGGCCAAUUUCAGCCCAAAACUGUAUAGGGCAAGAUCCAUCAGGGGAGCCACAUCCAUUUGCUGCAGUUGGGAACCUGUUCCACCAUUCAGGGUGUUGAGUCUUGGAGUCCAGGAGCAGCAAAUGCAGCCCAGCCAUCCCACAGCACAGCGUCAGCUUAAGAGUGACACAGACACAGUACCCCCAACUUCCCUCAUGACCUCCAUGAAGAGAAGAGGGAAAGCAAAAUGAUUGUGGAGGGGUGAGUUCACACACACACACAAUCUUUUAGUUCAAUUGGGUUUUAACAGCAUAUUUAGUUCCCAUUAGACCAAUUGCCACUGCUCCGCCAAUCUCCCUGCUAUGAUCUUUCAAUUAGCAGCACCUGAAUCCAGACUGAGGCAGGGAGGGAGGGUGAGGAAGAGCUAAAGUUACACCAGGCAAGCAGACAGCUGUGAAAUUGUGCCUGCAAGAAGCAAGAACUGUAGCCCAACAGUGAUAGCUAUCUGUAGUCUGUACCUGCCUAGCUGCAUGUUCCCUGCCAUAUUUCAUCAUCUGGUAUAUCUCUUUGAGUGUAUGUAUGUGUAUGCCUGUGUAUUUGUGAGUAUAUGCUGGACAGGAAGAAGGUGAUCUCAGCACAAUUUUAUUGUACCGGGUUUUUAAACACAAUGGGCUUUUAUUAGCUAUUGUGUUGCCCACUUUAUCACCUCCCAGAGCAGUUCUAGGCCUGCAUAAUUGCUUCCAUUCUGCUCUGGACUCAUCCUGCUCUGGCUUUACUCUCAGGUAAUGAUCACUUAUGGUGCAAGUCAUUGGCCCAAAGAUCCAUACAUAGGUUCAUCAACUUCAAGGCCACAAGAGUGCAUUAGAUCACCAAACUGGCCCUCUUGCAUGUCACAGGCCAGGGAGCUUCAUCCAGUUACUCCUGUUUUGAGCCAAAUGACUUGUGCUUGGCCAAAGUUCUUCCCAGAAAGGCACCUAGGCCCAAUAUGAAGACCUCAAGAGAUAGAGACUCCACCACCUCCCACGAGAGUUUGUUGCAAUAGUUAAUGACUGUCACUGUUUACAACUUGCAUCUUGUUCCUAAUUUGAAUUUGUCAAGCUUCAGCUUCUAGCCACUGGACCUUGUUUGGCCUUCCUCUGGUGAAAGACAGGAUGGUGGGAAUCAAGAUGUGUUUCAUGCUGGAUUGUCCCUGAGGAUGCCAAGGAUGGGGCAGUGGGAGUUAAAAAUAGACACAAUAGAUUUCAUCUUACAUUUGCUGUUUGUUGCUUCCAGAUCCCUGUUCAGCUCCCGGAAUGAGCCACACUCAUUUGCGCACAUUCUGAAUUGGACCUACACUUUGGUGACAUUCCUGCUUUACACCCUCCACAGUCUAGAUUGUGCACGAUGAUUCAUUCACACCACUUGUUCCAUCACUUUGGGAUUUGGCCUGGAAAGGUCCCAGGGAGCCCUACGGCUUGCCCUGGGUUUCAUUUGGCCUGUUGUCUAUGAGAUUGCAACAUAGCCAAGCUAAAUCAACACUGAGAAGGGUUUAGCGUAACAAAGCUGAACAGUGGGAGUAAAUCCUGUGGCAGAGCAGUUUCACAUCCCAGUAGGGUGAGAGGCCAGGCCUAGGCUUGCAAGCCCAGGCCUGGAAGCCAGCCACCCCACACAGAGCAGUUCCAUCUCGGGCAGGGUUCUCCACAGGUCCAGCAGGGCUCUGUAGCAAUGACUCCAGAAACCAAUAGACCAUGAUUCUUCCUCUAGCCUUCCUGGAAGCACCGUGAGUCCUUCUUGGAAGCACUGUAUUUCUCUAGCAGUGACAUAGCUGUAUAGAGGGGUUACAAAACUACAACAGCCCACAGCAAUGUUCUCGUUUUCUCUGAAAUUCCAUAGGGGCCUGCUGGAUUCUCAUCCUAGCACUGACUGGGCAUGUCUACACAUGCAUUAAUAUGCCUUUUCUAAUGCCCGUUAAAUUUGGUAUGUCCAAUGUGAGGUACUAAAUUAAUGCGCGUCAGGCUGCACUAAUUCACAGUAGCACAUUUGCAUGCUUUUUUAGUGAUGCUUAAUGCACAGUAGACUAUUUUACUGCACAUUAGUGUAAUGUCCCCAUUUUUACAUGACAAUGAUGCAUAGUAAAAUAGUCUACUGCACAUUAAAGCACAAGUGUAGACACACCCACUGUAACUCACUUUGUACACUCAGUAAGUCACAUGUGCCAGUAAUACCACCAUAAAGAGUCCCAAGUGAGGGACCUGAAUCCACAGUUUGGGAGUGGUCUGGAGUUCAGAGGUGCUGAUAAAAAACGCUCCCAUGUUCUAAACACUUCUCACUUGCUUCAAAACAGCUUCACUGUCUCAUACAGCAACAGGCAACAACUGAGAAGCCCACCACAGCACCCAAAUUGGCUGGUGACAGAAACAUAGGUCUUCUCACAAUGGUCAGAGCAGGGGGGCACCGAGUGGAAUAGCUUUUCUCCGAGAGUGACCAAAACCAGAUGCUUGAGAGACCACUAUAAGAAUCAUAUCAUGGUGAGAUAUUGUAAAUCCGCUUCAUAGGUCUCACUGUGAUCUCCAGCACCAGCCAAGGGGCAUAAUCCUAUGAGGUCCUUGGCACAAUCAAAUGUACCUACUUCUUUUUAAGUCUUGGGAAUCAUUUUUUGCUUUGCUGCAGCAGUGUGGGAGGAGGCUGUGAGCAAUUCGUGGUUAUCAAAUUCGUCACAAGAACGUAGUGCUGUGCUUUCAUUUACUGGGUGCCUGGGCAGCCUCACAGAAGGUAACUAAAAAUGGUAUCCACGUGGAUGAUACAAAGGGGAGUCAUCUGAGAGCUGAUGAGCCCCCACCAUCGACUUUGUGACGACUUCCUAGAACCACGUAUAUGGGAUCAAUAGAUCUGCAUCAGCAAUUGAAUUGGGGACUUCUCAAUCUAUGAACCAAGGCCCACAGCUAUUUAGGCCUCCAAUUCCUAUUUAUGUACCUAUAUGGACUGUAUGGCAUCCAUUCAUCAGUGAGCGAUGGUGGAUAUUGCAGCUGUUCUGCUAACUGGUGGUACAUUUUCUCUUGUGGCUGUAAAGACCGAUGUUAGACUUGCAGGUUUCCUGCUACAGUGGUCACAGUUGUACAUGGCAUUAGGGGCUACUGUACUGACAGGCUAUUUCCUUCAGUCAUGUUUCUGUUGUAAUCUGAGUGACCAUUUCUUGUUGUGAUGUUGGACUUCAUGAUUGAGAAAGGAACAUCACUUUGUCCUGUCUCCUGCUAAGGCAGGGGUGGGCAAAAUGUGGCCCGAGGGCCAGAUGCAGCCCGCCAAGCCAUUCUAUCCGGCCCACGGGGCCUCUAAAAAAUUUAGAAAAUUAAUAUUAAUCUGCCCUGGGCUGCCUGUCAUGUGGCCCUCAAUGGCUUGCUGGAACUCAGUAAGCGCCCCUCUGCCCAAAAUAAUUGCCCACCCCUGUGCUAAGGCCUCCCAAAGGUUUGGGUUGAUUCCAAAAACCUUCAAAUCCUGCUUGCAGAUAUCUUUGAAAUGCAAGAUUGGGCACACUUUGGGCACACUUUUAAGUGCAAUUAGGCACCUACAUUCCACUUAAUAGCAGUAUAGCCAGAGGUGGACCAGCCACCAAUCCUCAGAGCCAGCUCCUUCCAUGUUAAAAGUAGAAGCUUUUGUCUGUCCUCCCCAUACCCGCAAAGGCAGCACCCAGUGCAUCUGUCCCAGUCAUUCCCCGCCUUCCCCUCCCCACCCAAUUACACUACUGAGUAUGGUCAGUGCAACAUGUAGGUGGAUCAUAUGCAUUAUUUUCCUCUAUGAUGUCUUAUAGCAUCUACUGUCUUUCCUGCCUGGUGCAGGGAGCUGGACCUGAUGAUCUUUUGAGGUCCCUUCCAGCCUCGCAAUCUAUGAAUCUACUCACCAUUCUCUGUCUGCCCCUGGGGCCCUGAGAGGGUGAUCUGAAUCUUUGAAGCCUGUUCAGGUGGAUGCCUCAAGUAAAAUCCACCUCUGCUCCAAGGGCAGCUGGGGCUUCUUCCCUUUGGAAAGGCCAGUGCUCUAUUGCAGACUGAGGGAGCUGUAAAAUGAAAACCUGUUCUACUGGUGUCAACGGCAAAGCACUUAUUGGCUUCAUUAGGGCCAGGAGUUCACCCACAGUCUCUAAACACGCCACAGGGAAUCCAAGCAGAUCACUCUAAUCUGAAUUCAAGAGGGAGGACAAGAGGCCCCAUGGUAGAAGAGGGGAAAUGAUCCCAGCUGACAGCGAGGGGAUGAGAAAAGGCCUCUCCCUAACCAGAGGCAGUUGCAUCAGAUCUUCCAGCCUCGUAAGCUGCCAGAUCUCUGGGCUCUAAGAGAAACACCCAAAAUCUGCCCUGUGCCAGUUGCCCUGCUGCCUAGCACACAUGGCUGCAGGAGUGGGGAAGGCCUAGAUUCUUGCAGGGGGAAUUAGAAAGGGGAUAGGGGGAGGGGGUCAAUAGGAACACAAACAUUUCAGCUUGCAAGAUUCUUCUGACAAUAAGGAAGGAGAGAAUCAGGUUAGAACAAGCAGCUGUCUCUCUCCAAAGAGCCCCCUCUGCAAGCCAGAUGUUCUCUGAUCCAAUCAGCACUCUGGCCCAGACCCACCCACAGGAGGAAAGGAGGGGGCUGGGCUGGGCUGGGCUGAGUCAGCUGCAGGAAGAUCUAAGGUGAGUAACUGACAAGUCACAAGCUGAUACCAAGCCAAGCUCCAUGCGACAGAGGUACUGGAGUCAUCAGGGCUGCUGUGAGUUCUCUGUGGAGGGUCCUCACAGCCUCCCAGCUCAGAGGAGUCCCAGCCCAACAGAGAGUCACAUUCUUCCAGACUGAGCCAGCACCCUGUGGAGAUGGAAGGAAUGGGGGCCAGGCACAGCUUCAAGGACAGUGGGAAAGUUGCAGUAGAUGGAGGGAGGGAGAGAAGAAUAAAUGGCUCAGCAGAUAGAACAGUGACCUCGGGGUUAAGGGCUCUUCAAGGAAGGAAGGAAGGAAAGGGAAGGAAAGGGUCCAGACAGCAGAAUCCUGGUGACACCUGGGCUGCUGGGCAUUGCGGUCAAAUGAAGAGUGUCCCCUCUGGGGAGCUGGCUUUCUCUCUUCCUUUGGCUGUCAGUGAGAUCCAAUGAGUAGCUUCAGCUCAGGGAUGGGAUGGUAGGGCAUGCUGUAGGUCUGGAUUGGCACAGCUGUGUGGGGAAAGCUGAGAGCAAGACAGCAGCUGCAGGUCAGGACAAAAGGACAUGGUCAGGAAAGGAGUCAAAGUCACAUAGCAAGUGAGUGGCAAAAGCCAGAAAUAGAACUCAGACCUCCCAACUCCCCCUCCUAAGGAAAGGCUGCUUUGCUUCUAACAAACCAAAGCCUGUGUUUGCAGCCCUACUGGAUGCUAGUGCAGAUGUCACUUGUCACAGCAGCAGGACCCUGGUGGUUAGCAGAGACCAAUUAGGUCCUACAGUUUCUCCCCUCCUUGUAAAUAUAGACUAUAUCCUGGGAUCCAUCUUUUAUUAAACAAGGCCCAGCCCCUGGCUCCUAUAGUUUUGCUUUUUUCCCUUUUCUAUUAUUUUUUUUCCUCUAAAGCGGAGAAAACCACCCAGCUAGCAGAACCGCCAGACCAAACUGUCCAAGGGAAACAGCGGUGGAACUUGGAAGGGGUGAAAGAAAGCAGAAAGAGAGGAAGAGGGGGAAGGGAAAUGGCAUGUUGUUUUCUCCACCCCAGCCCCCAUCUUGAUUCUUUAGCCUCAUGGAUUCCAAGAACUGGUACCUUUGAAAAAUCAAACUGUACAGUGUGUCCAGAGCCAGCAACACAGGUUUUAUGGCUUCACUGAGCCACUGGGGUCCAGGAGGCACUCGAGUUCCAAGUAGAGAUAAGAAUAAAGCAAAAUCCCAAACCCAGACACCUCCUCACCCUUGGGAUAUUCAAAUCUUGGACCUAAAUUUUUGUGGCUCAGAGGGUCAGAGGUGGUUGAGCGUAGUCCUAGUCAUCACUUCACAUUGUUUGUGUGCUCUUGGCUAUAGAAACUGCUGAGCCUUGAUGGCCAUUGACAGGGGAGACAUUUGAUUUGACUUAACCUGCUCUUUUCCAGUUAUGAAUCACUGCAGGGAUCAGUUCUGAACCAGGCUGCAGGAGCUGGAAGACCUUGGGUGCCAAGGCAGAGGUGCUGGCCUCCCUACAGCCAGCGACUUUGCAGUAGAACAGCGCAAUGGAGCAAAGUGUUGACACACAGCAGCUACAGGGUCUUUGUCUAGCUUGGACUGCAGCUCCUUGGGACUGGGCCACGAAAGCUGGAAUUCACUAAGGAGUACAUAACAACUCACCUGCUGAAUCAAGUAGCCCUGAAAAUGGAUGGUGCUGGAGCACUGGACCCAUACUUGUGGGAGCUGGGCAAGGCUCCACCUCAGCUUGACUGAAUCCUGAAAUACCUUUGGACCAUGACAUUAUGGAUCAACAUGACAUUGUAGAAUCCCUCCAUGAUGAUGCAUCUCAAUGAAACAUCAUCAGGUUGCAACACCCUGGCAUUCUGCUGCAGUGUAACAACAUGCUAUUGCAAGCUGAUGUCCCUACUGCUUACAGAAGGGAAAGAUGAUGGAUCUGUAUCAUGGACACAACCAGUAAGAUUUUCUUUAAGCUUGAGAAUUCUGCACUGUUGCUGCUGAGAACACUGGAGCAAAAUAGAGGGCUGGGCACUUAGCCAAGUAUAUGACAAGCAGGAAAAGGAACAGGUGGUUGGGCUAGACAAUAGUGGAUCAUUCCUAGGAACACAGGAUUGUCCACAGACAUCUUCCUCAAGGUCCCCUUCACAGGCUUUAGCUUGUUACACAUGGACACACACACACGCACACACUGGAAUCCCAGGAAGGGGCUGCGACAAAUUCUCAUGGACGCUGAAAUACCGUGGCUGUGAGCUCACCGAGUGACUAACUUGUUUAUCUCCUAUGGGAGCUGCUCCACUGCAAUCUAGCAUUUGGGAAGCAUUAGAUCUUAGCCAGCUUCUUUCCAAGUUGCAGUCACAUCCCCCACCCUCAAAAGAACACACUCUAAAAAUACAAAGCAAAAAAUGACACAUCACCCUGUUUCUUCUAAAAGAAAGUCAUUGCUAAUCACUCCAUUACUUUACUACAUCCUGUUGGAUUAGCACUAGAAAUAGUUCAAGUGGUUAAAACAAAUGGCAGAUGUCAGGGAAAUCAGAAGGCUUUUUGUAAGAAUCAAAGGCGUGAAUUUAAAAAAUUAAUGCAUGCAAAUUGUUGCUGUUGCAUGCCCAAAACAGAUACUGGCACAUACAAAAGGCUAAUUGUGCACAUAGUUGGCUGCCCGUGCAAGCAAAUGCCCGAUUUGCAUAUGCAGUCUCUGUAACUAUGCUUACCAUUUAAGCACACAAUUGCAUUUGUAUUUUUUGUGUGCGCCAAUCCAUUUAUUUUGAAAAUCAGCCCCUACACAUUUCUAAUAAUUUUUUCUACAUGGUAAAGUAAAAGUGCAGGUGGCAAUAAGUUACUCACAUCAAGGCAUGCUAAUUCUAUGCAUGGUGCCAGAGAAACCCACCUCAGAUCCAUAACUUAAUAAGUGUUCCUAAAACAAUAGGGGUUCAUUUUGGAAUGGAAGGGGUCAGUUUUUCAAGCAGCCUUCAAAGCUAUAACUUAUGUCCAUAUCUCUUCAAUCUCUAAAUAUUUCACAGACAAUGAAGCUUAUGAGUUACCCAGCCCAAUCAGGUUAACAAUGAUGAUUUUUUUCAAAUCACCCAAUUUAUUUAAUAUCAAUACAAAAACCCUGAUGAGAUAAAAACAGAAAUGAUGGGAACAACUAUGCAGCCCUGUCUUAAGUCUCAGCCAUAAAAAUAUAGGGGUUAUCAGCCUUGCUGCUGCAGCUUUCAGUCAAAGGUAUGAGGAGUGAUACAGGUGCAUCUAAAUCACAGGGGCCUUUAUAGGUCAGAGCCAAUAAUUUCAAUUCCACCUGGAAAUAAGCUGGGAGCCAUUUCAGUCAAUGCAGUACUUGUAUUAUUUACAUGAAAGGAGAGUAUAGUAUCAGUGUUUUCAGGUUCUGUGUUUGUCUUCCCAUUACAGAGGAAGAUAGGAAACGCAUCCAUGGAAACUGCUGCUACCUGAGCUACUACACUAGGACUUUAAAGAUUAAUUUUAUUGUCUACACAGAAAGUGCCUACCACUUCUGUAUUUUCUCACAUACAACACGCACCUUUUCCCAUAGGCAACGUGUAGGGAUUGGCCUUCACCAGCUGGGGCGUGGGGGUGCCAAGAGAAGUGCCGGCAGCACCUCCGGUUUUGCUGCUGUCACUUCCUGUUUUGCCGCCAGUGUUUCCAGGGUCAGCAAUCGGCCACUGGGGGGGAAUCAGCAAUCAGCCACUGGUUCCCACCCCUCCCACCCCCCGCAUGACUUUUCCUCAAAAACUAGCGAAUGGAAAUUUGAUUGUGCAUUAUAUGCAAGAAAUAUGGUAAGAGCUGGUUCUGUUGCUUACCAAUUGAAAUCAAAGUAAAAUCUGCAGUGAUCCUCAGUGGGCACAUCUACACAUGCAUUUGCUCUCAAGGAAACUACUUGAGAGUAAACACUCCUGGGCACACGUCUACAUGUGCAGGGACAUGGAAGCAGAUUUGCUGCUCCUAGCAGCAAACUGCUCCCACUCCUUCUGGCCACAACAGGUCUCUGCUGCCACCAGGGGGAUGUGGAGGCUCCAGCCACGGCUGCCUGAGGCUGGCAGGCAUCUUUAAAAGGCAGCCCACUCCCUGUUCCCUUGUCAGCCAUUUUUCUGGCCAGAAGCAGCGUGCAGAGCUGAGGGGCAGCAUGCAGCAUCUCUCUCACCAUAGCUUUUACCCCCUCACACCGUGGCUGCUCCACCCACUGGCCCUGGCAGUGCCAUCCAGUUCCCCAGGCUCCUGGUCACCAUGGUGCUUGCCCUGCUGGUCCAUCACAGAGACCACCAUCUGGCCCAGAGCAGUCUGGGCCCUACCAGCUCCCCCAUGCUCAGCACCUGCCCGGCCAGCCUCACUACACUGUCCUAGGCCCCCUGCCACUGUUCAGCUGCUGGCCAGACCCUGGCAGGGAUGCCAGUGAUCCACUCCUGGAUGCCACUCAGGGCGAUCCAUGCCCCCCUUGGAUUCCAGCCCAGCCUCCUCUGGGCCUGCCCGGCCAGCCAGAACUAGUGGCUGCACAUUGUCCAGACCACCUGGGCCAACAAGCAGAGGCUGGAGUCAUUCUGGUUAACCUGGGCCACCUUCUAAGACCUCUUGGAGCAGCUCCACCCACACCUGGAGUGGCAGGACACCACCAUAUAGCAGCCCCUCUCUGAGUACACCUGGCAGGCUCUCACCCUUCUCAAGCUGGCCACUAGGGCUGUGCAAAAUUUCACCACCAGUUUUGUUUUGAUGCUGGUUCGACCUGUUUCCAGGUUGAAACAGCAAAAUCAAAAUGAAACAGAUAUGGUUGGAACAGCCUCGAAACGAAAUGAGGCAAGCUGAAACGUUUUGCCGUUUCAAUGCUGUUUUGCCGUUUUGUCCAUAGGCUAUAA